rnacentral:rRNA from 1 species
GAGCGGCGUACGGGUGCGUAACACGUGUGCAACCUACCUUUAUCAGGGGAAUAGCCUUUCGAAAGGAAGAUUAAUACUCCAUAAUAUAUGAUCAGGCAUCUGAUUAUAUUGAAAACUCCGGUGGAUAGAGAUGGGCACGCGCAAGAUUAGAUAGUUGGUGAGGUAACGGCUCACCAAGUCAUUGAUCUUUAGGGGUCCUGAGAGGGAGAUCCCCCACACUGGUACUGAGACACGGACCAGACUCCUACGGGAGGCAGCAGUGAGGAAUAUUGGACAAUGGGUGAGAGCCUGAUCCAGCCAUCCCGCGUGAAGGAUGACGGUCCUACGGAUUGUAAACUUCUUUUGUAUAGGGAUAAACCCAGAUACGUGUAUCUGGCUGAAGGUACUAUACGAAUAAGCACCGGCUAACUCCGUGCCAGCAGCCGCGGUAAUACGGAGGGUGCAAGCGUUAUCCGGAUUUAUUGGGUUUAAAGGGUCCGCAGGCGGACCGAUAAGUCAGUGGUGAAAUCUCAUAGCUUAACUAUGAAACUGCCGUUGAUACUGUCGGUCUUGAGUAAAUUAGAGGUAGCUGGAAUAAGUAGUGUAGCGGUGAAA